AUGCCUCCGAGACGUGACCCCGGAUUUGUCUUCCCACCGGAGCUCACUCAGUUGAUCCAACAACAGAAUGCCUUGAUGCAGCUACUAGUCCAUAACCAAGGCAACAACAACAACAACCCACUGCCACCACCCCUAGUUGACAACUUAGCCCGUUUUCUAAGGUUGCAGCCGCCGGUGUUUUCCAGUAGCACCGAGCCAAUAGUUGAUGAUGACUGGCUACGCAGGAUUGGAAGGGAGUUGACCACCGUAGGUUGCACAGAUGUUGAGAAGGUGCGUUUUGCCGCACAUCAAUUGGAUGGACCUGCAGCCUCAUGGUGGGAGAAUUACACAACCACUUUCCCUAUAGCCAAUGUCACUUGGGAGUAG
rnacentral:rRNA from 1 species